CUUGUCACCAGUGGGGUACCUCAGGUAUCUGUACUUGGACCCAUUCUCUUUAAUAUUUUUAUUAGUGAUAUUGCAGAAGGUCUUGAUGGUAAGGUAUGUCUUUUGCUGAUGAUACUAAGAUAUGUAACAGGGUUGAUGUUCCAGGAGGGAUAAGCCAAAUGACAAAUGAUUUAGGUAAACUAGAAAAAUGGUCAGAAUUGUGGCAACUGACAUUUAAU